AUGAUAUGCUGCCUGUUUUCUGGGUCCCCAGCCCAAGACAGCCACAAUCUGCAUUUCGUAGAUGCUGACAAGUCAGUGCAGCUGAAGCCAGCAGAUGCCAUGAGGGACUGGUGGCCAUCAGACAAGCUCCAGGCACCUCCAGGGAAAAACACAGAAAUAAUUUUGAGACAACUUCAGAGUCAACAUACUGACAUAUAAGUGGCACCAAACUGCACCCUUCAGAUGACUGGGAUUUUUUACAUAUGAGUACAUUCUUCCUUGCAAGAGUUUGCAAAUGCUUGAGUGGUACUUGUAUUAAUGUAAUAAAAGAAGUGCAAGGCUGACUGAGGCAUGAGUAUUUCUCCACUAUUGCUCUCUAUUCAACUGCAGCCAUAGCUAUUGUCAUAACAAUUCUCAAGGCAGUACAAUGACUGCAGCACCAAUUAAAAGAGGAAUCCUAAAGGGUUCUUGUAGGCAAUAGAGAUGAUUGCCAUAGUCUGUUAUUUAACUCACAUUUGUCAGUUACACAUUUGACGUUACACCUGCUACAUGGCAAAACACUCUAAUUUUGACAAUUAAUAUUUUUACGCGGUGUUUGAGAAAGGAACUUUUCAGGCUGAUAGCAGGACUAAAGAUUUUGUGUACUGCUGAUCAAAGGUAUUACUAGGAUUUUAUGAACAAAUUAGAAUGCACACCUUGUCAUCUUCCUUUCUAUCAUUUUGAGAGUAUUGCAGAAAAGUCUUCUUGUCUAGGACUUGUAUUAAAUGACCACAAGCAAUAAAACAAGCCACAGAGAUGAGGGCUGCUAUCACUGUCUUGUCUGCAUAACCUACACUGUGCAUAGCAUGGCUUUGUGCAGUAAAUAUUUGGUGUAAGAAAUGCUAUUUUUUUUUUCACACGUAAGUAUUUAUAAGCCAAGAUGAUUUGUUAACAAUGUUUAAAGACAGAAUUUUUUGUAAGGUGUGGUGUGGUGGUUUGGUGAUUUUUUUUGAGAUAUGUGUGUUUCAUUCUCUUGCCACAUGUGCCAUGGUCAGUGCUGUGCAAUGCGUGCAAGGGCCUGACUUUUCACAGGAGCAGCAGGAGAGAUGAGCGGUCAGUGAGCGUAAGCAAAAGGUAUUGCUUCCCUCCUGCUGGAAAUUUCUCAGUAGAGAAAAUUGAAAAGUCAAACUGUGGUUAGCACUGUGAUAGUACUCACUAGAAACAAAUGCUAGCAAUAAAUCAGAAUAAAGCCUAGGGCAUAGGUUCCUGCCUAAGCAGGCAUGCCUAAGGCAUUCAUGCCUGCGGACUCCUCCAGUUCACAGACACUCUUUUGGCUGUCAGUGAGGAAAUGAAGAUGCCAGCUUUGGGUGAAAGAGUUCAGCUGCCCAAGGAGGCAGAGGCCUCAUGAAGAGUUAGAUAGGACAAUCCAUUGCUGCUAUGAAACCCUAACACAGUUUAUGUUUUUUCCAGUACUUAAGGUAUUAUCUGGACAUGUUUUGAAGCUAUCUUAUACUCUCACACAACACAAAGAGCUUCAUAUUGUACACUUGAUAUUUAAAAAAAAAAUUAAAAUAAUGUUUGUGUUUCUAUAAUAUGCAUGUUCAUAUUUGUAUGUGUUAGAAUAAGUCCAAGUAAACUUUUAAAGUUAUUUUAAGUGGCAUAAUUUCUUUUACUGUGCAUACUGCUUGAAAUAUUCAUAUUAUAUGUGCCAUGGGUUGGAUGUAGAGCAGAGGCAUUCUUGAUCCUCUUUUUUUUUGUGUGUGUGACCCUUUUCAGCUCUAUAGUCACACUGGGGCCAAUUAGUCCAAUUAUCUGAGAUUACAAGAUUAAAUUUUGCAUAUUCAUAGUCUUGUGAGGAAGGGUAGGUCAUCAGGAGGAUGACAAAUGUUGUUUAUUAUGAGAACAGGUAACAUUUAACCUGAUGACAGCACAAAUACAAAUAAAUGACCAUGCACAAAUGCAAAUUAACUAAGAUAUAGUUCUGAGUGAAGGCUUCAGUUGCAGCUGGAGACAUUUUUCAAUUAGAUAAAGUAAGCAAGAAAAUCAGUGUUUUGAAGAGAUUAAGUAUGGGUUAGUAUAACAUUAUUCCCUGAAUAUUCAGGCAAAAUUAAAAUAUUAUUUCCUCUAAAAUUAGGAAAUAGUAAUAUAUUUAAAACAUAUUUAGGUUAAGUUGACUAAUAUAUGUUAUUUCUAUGCAAAUAACCAGAAAGACACUGUAGGCACCUUUGUCUAGCCUAAAAAUGAACCUAAAGAAUGAAACUUGCAAUUAAACCCCUUUAAUUUAUGCUUCCUUUAUCUUUGUAAUAUCCUGCUACAGCUGCAUUGCUUUCCUGAUCACUGUCAGCAGUUAGGAAUUUUCUUGUCUAGAAAUGACAUGGACAUCUAUUUCUCUCUUCAGUUUUUCAUUCUUUUCUCUGAUUCUCCUGUAACAUUGUGCCUGGACUAUUCUUAUCUCCUGAUUCAUUACAUAUAGAGUCACAGACUUUGAGAUCCUAGGGGUACACCUCAUUAGGAUUUUUUCACAGUCAUUUUUUUCUUGGCAGUGCAAUAAAUGUCUGGUUUAUAUUAGCAGAAGAUAGAACUCCAUAGACACCAAUAGCUACACAGUGCAGAAAAAAUCAACAGCAUGAAUUUGUUUGGGCAUUGCAUGUAGAAAGAAAGACAGAGAAGAAAAUGGCAUCAGAUACUGAAAUACCACAGAAGAGAUUUAGCCAGAAAAAUGGCUUAGUAAUCAGUGACGAUUUCUUCCUCAAUGAUAGCUGAUAUGUAAUAUUUCUCUACUAUCUUUACUAUCUUCCUAUUCCAAAAUGGAAGCAAAUGUUAAAUUUCUGCUACCCGUUUGUCUAAUUGAAUUUCAUUGCACACAUUUAUUUUUAAAUUAUAUCUCAAUAUUAAUAUUUAACUAGUAAAAUAGGAUUAAAGAGCUUAACAAAGCACUUAAGAGAAGUCUAAGCACUGUGGCUAUUCCAUUUGACUGGUUCUCCUGUUUCAGAAGGAAUGACUUUUAAUAGCAGAAAUAGCAGAGGAUAUUAAGUAAAAAAAAACCAGUUAAUGUGGUAAAUAGGAAACUCCUAAUUUCCCAGUAGUUGCUUAUGUGACUUUGGAUCAAGCACUACUCACUGUGCACCCCUUUCUCUGCUUAUUACAGAAGGGCAGGGGCUGCUUUCUGCUCGAUGGUUUUAUGGCUGCAAUGCUUCUCUACCACAUCACUAAUUGUUUGGGAUGUCUGAGUUUUCUGAGCCCAAGCACCACAGAGUACUCAGAACCAAGAAUUUACUGGAUACCAGUUUUCCUAACUUGCUAAGAUAACUGAAGAAGCCCAUACAAGAACAUCCAAGGCAUUAGCUGUUUUAGUUAUGAGAUAAAAUAAUGUCACCACUUAGUGACAAAUUUGAUAUAAGCUUGCUGAACGCUACAAGUGUAUAUCUAAUAGUCUUGCAUUCUGUAGGCUUGUAGUUAAAAUAAACUAGGAUUUACAAUUCAGAUGCAAAUUAUUUCGCUUUGGAAAAAUUAACUUACUAUUUCUGUUACGAGGCAAUAACCAAUUAUCAUAGGAGUUUGAGCUCUCAUUCUAGCCACCAAUUACCUCAUUAUUGAUUCACAGAGUAGCCUGAAUAUCAUAAUCCGAUACAACUACCUUGUUGUUCAAGUAGUUAGUAAGCUCUGGGCAACUUCUCAGCGUCCUUUCCAAACCUCAGCUAAGGAAAACUAUGUGGUGAUAUAUGGAUUUAUAGCUGAGUCACUCAGAUCUUGGCAUGCUCAAAGCAUAUUCCAUUUGCUAAGGUUUGUGACAAAAUUUUCAAGCCAUGUGCCUAGAGCCUGGGGAAAUGCAAGGUUUUCAGGAAUUCCAUUAGGAGACAUACUGAUGCAGUGCUGGGUUUCCAGAAGCUACACAGGUUUGUUUUCACCAGUUUAGCCUUACCAUGGACAAGAGUGUAAAUAAGGUCAACAUACACCACUGAAAUCAGAAAUAACUGGAGCAGAGCUUAUGGAGUUUUCAAAGGAUUUUGUGAGUACUAAACCAUAACAGUGUUCCUCCAUACUUUUGAGUACACUUCUCUAAUGCAUAAAAUCUCCCAAGGGGUUCACUUUCAUUUUUGAGACAAAUGUCUUACAAAAAUAAUUGAUAGUAUAAUGAGAGAAACCAUUAGAAGAGGUACAGUUAGAGCUCUGGUGGAAUGUAGCUCUUCAGGAAUGAGGAAUCCCAAAUAUUUCACACUUUUUGACUCCUGUAAAAAUUAACAAUACCGUGGUAAAGUGACUUAAACAUGCCACCAAAACCAGUUUCAAUUUCUGCAGAGAGCAUCAGUUGUUUGUAACUAUAGAUAAAUAAUUUUAAUGUUUUAACUGUAAAUUAAUCAAAUAUAGGUUUGAAAUAUUAAUUAAAAGGAGUUUUUUCAAGAAAGAAUUUUGAUUAGAAAAAGAGACAUGAAAG
rnacentral:lncRNA from 1 species